AGUCCCGCAACGAGCGCAACCCUUAUCCUUGUUUGCCAGCGAGUCAUGUCGGGAACUCCAGGGAGACUGCCGGUGAUAAACCGGAGGAAGGUGGGGACAACGUCAAGUCAUCUUGGCCCUUACGAGUAGGGUUCCACACGUGCUACAAUGGCGCAUACAAAGGGCGGCCAACUUGCGAGAGUGAGCGAAUCCCAAAAAGUGCGUCGUAUUCCGGAUUGAAGUCUGCAAUUCGACUCCUUGAAGUCGGAAUCCCUAGUAUUCGUGAAUCA
rnacentral:rRNA from 1 species